UCCAACGAGUGAGCGACGUGGAAAUAACCUCGUAGAAGAGGGAUUAUUUCAAUAUUUAUUUCUCAUGAAAUGACACCACUCUGCAGCAUAUUGCGUGAAAGACGAGCUGCCCCGCUGUAGCUUCACCGUGAAUGUCUGGUGACGUAUCGGCUGCUCCGUCUGCUUUGGAGGUUGCCACCUUCCUCGGCAAAACACUUGGCGCAGGCGCGGCACUGACGGCUGCUGUCUACUUAGCCCGCAAAGUCUGCCUAAUAAUGGCGUGGAAAUCUGGAGGAGCUAGCCACGCAGAACUCGUCAACAACCUGCGCAAAAAUGGCAUCAUCAAGUCCGACAAGGUCUAUGAAGUCAUGCUGGCGACAGACCGGGCUCAUUACUCUAGAUGUAACCCUUACAUGGACUCGCCGCAGUCAAUAGGCUUCCAAGCAACCAUCAGCGCCCCGCAUAUGCAUGCGUAUGCCCUGGAGCUUUUACAAGAGCAGCUGCACGAGGGUGCCAAAGCCCUGGACGUGGGCUCCGGCAGCGGAAUCCUUUCGGUUUGCUUUGCACGAAUGGUAGGCCCCGAAGGGAAAGUUGUCGGCAUUGACCACAUUAAAGAGCUGGUCGACGACGCCGUUACCAACGUGAAGAAAGACGACCCCAGUUUGAUCACGUCGGGAAGAGUGACGCUAAAAAUCGGAGACGGACGAUUGGGCUACACAGAAGAGGCGCCUUACGACGCCAUCCAUGUUGGAGCAGCAGCAGCAACGGUCCCCGAAGCUCUUCUGGAGCAGUUGAAGCCCGGCGGCCGUCUCAUUCUGCCCGUAGGCCCGGCAGGGGGGAACCAGAUGUUAGAGCAAUACGACAAGAUGGAGGAUGGCAGCACCAAAAUGAAACCCCUGAUGGGGGUGAUCUAUGUGCCUUUAACGGACAAAGACAAGCAGUGGUCCAGGUGGAAGUGACUCCCUUCUUCUCCCCUCCCUCCCUUCCAUCCUCUCCUUCUCACAGCGGAAAAGGGAUGAACUCUGAACAGGAAGACAGUCCAUAAGCCACCUUUGUAAUAUCGAACCUGGACCGAAAAAAAAACAGA